rnacentral:rRNA from 1 species
GAUCCUGGCUCAGGAUGAACGCUAGCGGCAGGCUUAACACAUGCAAGUCGAGGGGCAGCGAGAUCAAAGCUUGCUUUGGUUGUCGGCGACCGGCGCACGGGUGCGUAACGCGUAUGCAAUCUACCCACUACAGGGGGAUAACACUGAGAAAUUGGUACUAAUUCCCCAUAACAUUCGAAGAGGCAUCUCUUUGGGUUGAAAACUCCGGUGGUUAUGGAUGGGCAUGCGUUGUAUUAG